CAGGGAAUCUUGCACAAUGGGCGAAAGCCUGAUGCAGCGACGCCGCGUGGGGGAUGAAGGCCUUAGGGUCGUAAACCCCUUUCAGCAGGGACGAAAAUGACGGUACCUGCAGAAGAAGCCCCGGCCAACUACGUGCCAGCAGCCGCGGUAAGACGUAGGGGGCGAGCGUUGUCCGGAUUUAUUGGGCGUAAAGAGCUCGUAGGCGGUUGCGUAAGUCGGAUGUGAAAACUCAGGGCUCAACCCUGAGACGCCAUCCGAUACUGCGCUGACUUGAAUCCAGUAGGGGAGUGUGGAAUUCCUGGUGUAGCGGUGAAAUGCGCAGAUAUCAGGAGGAACACCCAUGGCGAAGGCAGCACUCUGGGCUGGUAUUGACGCUGAGGAGCGAAAGCAUGGGUAGCGAACAGGAUUAGAUACCCAAGUAGUCCCUGAGCGGGCUGGCAAGGCGC
rnacentral:rRNA from 1 species